UCGUUCUGUAUCAAGCCUACCAAAGAAAACUUUCCCACUGUGCAGAAAAACCCAAGAAAAGCCCACAUUAUUCGUGGAAUUAGCAACAUAAACAUAUCACCUCGCUACUGAAACAGUAAAACCGGCAAC